GAUAUGAACCGUUAUAACCGGCGAUGUCCGAAUGGGGAAACCCAGUGCACCUGUUGCACUAUCGUUAACCUGAAUACAUAGGUUAACGAGGCGAACCGGGGGAACUGAAACAUCUAAGUACCCCGAGGAAAAAGAAAUCAACGAGAUUCCCAGUAGCGGCGAGCGAACGGGGAGCAGCCCAGAGUCUGAAUCAGCUUGUGUGUUAGUGGAACGGUCUGGAAAGUCCGACGGUACAGGGUGAUAGUCCCGUACACCAAAAUGCACAGGUUGUGAACUCGAAGAGUAGGGCGGGACACGUGGUAUCCUGUCUGAAUAUGGGGGACCAUCCUCCAAGGCUAAAUACUCCUGACUGACCGAUAGUGAACCAGUACCGUGAGGGAAAGGCGAAAAGAACCCCGGCGAGGGGAGUGAAAAGAACCUGAAACCGUGUACGUACAAGCAGUGGAGCACCUUCGGGUGUGACUGCGUACCUUUGUAUAAUGGGUCAGCGACUUAUAUUCUGUAGCAAGGUUAACCGUAUAGGGAGCCGCAGGGAAACCGAGUCUUAACUGGGCGUUAAGUUGCAGGGUAUAGACCCGAAACCCGGUGAUUCAGCCAUGGGCAGGUUGAAGGUUGGGUAACACUAACUGGAGGACCGAACCGACUAAUGUUGAAAAAUUAGCGGAUGACUUGUGGCUGGGGUGAAAGGCCAAUCAAACCGGGAGAUAGCUGGUUCUCCCGAAAGCUAUUUAGGUAGCGCCUCGUGAACUCAUCUUCGGGGUAGAGCACUGUUUCGGCUAGGGGGUCAUCCCGACUUACCAACCCGAUGCAAACUACGAAUACCGAAGAAUGUUAUCACGGGAGACACACGGCGGGUGCUAACGUCCGUCGUGAAGAGGGAAACAACCCAGACCGCCAGCUAAGGUCCCAAAGUCAUGGUUAUGGGAAACGAUGUGGAAGGCACAGACAGCCGUGAUGUUGGCUUAGAAGCAGCCAUCAUUUAAAGAAAGCGUAAUAGCUCACUGGUCGAGUCGGCCUGCGCGGAAGAUGUAACGGGCUAAACCAUGCACCGAAGCUGCGGCAGCGACACUAUGUGUUGUUGGGUAGGGGGAGCGUUCUGUAAGCCUGCGAAGGUGUGCUGUGAGGCAUGCUGGAGGUAUCAGAAGUGCGAAUGCUGACAUAAGUAACGAUAAAGCGGGUGAAAAGCCCGCUCGCCGGAAGACCAAGGGUUCCUGUCCAACGUUAAUCGGGGCAGGGUGAGUCGACCCCUAAGGCGAGGCCGAAAGGCGUAGUCGAUGGGAAACAGGUUAAUAUUCCUGUACUUGGUGUUACUGCGAAGGGGGACGGAGAAGGCUAUGUUAGCCGGGCGACGGUUGUCCCGGUUUAAGCAUGUAGGCUGGUUAUCCAGCAAAUCCGGAUAAUCAAGGCUGAGGUGUGAUGACGAGGCACUACGGUGCUGAAGUAACAAAUGCCCUGCUUCCGUGAAAGCCUCUAAGCAUCAGGUAACAUCAAAUCGUACCCCAAACCGACACAGGUGGUCAGGUAGAGAAUACCAAGGCGCUUGAGAGAACUCGGGUGAAGGAACUAGGCAAAAUGGUGCCGUAACUUCGGGAGAAGGCACGCUGGUGUGUAGGUGAAGUCCCUGCGGAUGGAGCUGAGACCAGUCGAAGAUACCAGCUGGCUGCAACUGUUUAUUAAAAACACAGCACUGUGCAAACACGAAAGUGGACGUAUACGGUGUGACGCCUGCCCGGUGCCGGAAGGUUAAUUGAUGGGGUUAUCCGUAAGGAGAAGCUCUUGAUCGAAGCCCCGGUAAACGGCGGCCGUAACUAUAACGGUCCUAAGGUAGCGAAAUUCCUUGUCGGGUAAGUUCCGACCUGCACGAAUGGCGUAAUGAUGGCCGUGCUGUUCCACCCGAGACUCAGUGAAAUUGAACUCGCUGUGAAGAUGCAGUGUACCCGCGGCAAGACGGAAAGACCCCGUGAACCUUACUAUAGCUUGACACUGAACAUUGAGCCUUGAUGUGUAGGAUAGGUGGGAGGCUUUGAAGCGUGGACGCCAGUCUGCGUGGAGCCAACCUUGAAAUACCACCCUUAAUGUUUGAUGUUCUAACGUUGGCCCCUUACCGGGUUGCGGACAGUGUCUGGUGGGUAGUUUGACUGGGGCGGUCUCCCUCCCAAAGCGUAACGGAGGAGCACGAAGGUUAGCUAAUCCCCGGUCGGACAUCAGGAGGUUAGC
rnacentral:rRNA from 1 species